rnacentral:rRNA from 1 species
UACGUAGGGGGCAAGCGUUAUCCGGAAUUACUGGGUGUAAAGGGUGAGUAGGCGGAUUAGUAAGCCAUAUGUGAAAACUCAGGGCUUAACUUUGAGAUUGCAUAAGGAACUGUUAAUCUAGAGUACAGGAGAGGUAAGUGGAAUUCCUAGUGUAGCGGUGAAAUGCGUAGAUAUUAGGAGGAACACCAGUGGCGAAGGCGACUUACUGGACUGAAACUGACGCUGAGGCACGAAAGCGUGGGUAGCGAACAGG